rnacentral:rRNA from 1 species
GAAAUCCCCGGGCUCAACCUGGGGGAACUGGCAUUUGAAACUGGCAAGCUAGAGUCUCGUAGAGGGGGGUAGAAUUCCAGGUGUAAGCGGUGAAAUGCGUAGAGAUCUGGAGGAAUACCGGUGGCGAAGGCGGCCCCCUGGACGAAGACUGACGCUCAGGUGCGAAAGCGUGGGGAGCAAACAGGAUUAGAUACCCUGGUAGUCCACGCUGUAAACGAUGUCGAUUUGAAGGUUGUGCCCUUGAGGCGUGGCUUCCGGAGCAAACGCGUUAAAUCGACCGCCUGGGGAGUACGGCCGCAAGGUUAAAACUCAAAUGAAUUGAGGGGGCCCGCACAAGCGGUGGAGAUGGGGUUAAUUGGAGGGACGCGAGAACCGGAGGUACGCGGGAAAUCGGGAGAACUUACCAGAGAGGGAUGGGUGGUUCGGGAACUCUGAGAGAGGUGGGUGCAUGG